AUAGUGUCGGUGUUGUCUUUUAUUAAAAUUUUGCAAUAAGAACAAGAAGAUACUAUUCGCGAUACAAAAUGAAUAAGCCGCGAAUAAUAAGGUUCGCGAGAGAAAUUAUAUAUAAUACUUUUACCGACCAUGUCUAGCUGAACAAGAAGCAAAAACAAUUCUAUCGGAUCUGGAAGCAUAUGUGAGUGCGUUUCAAGACAUAACCGAAGAUGAUUGGAAAAUCUCAUGUCAACAUGUAAGAAAAAUUUAAAAUGACUAUUACAAGAGAGAACAUACCCUGUAAGAGGACAUUGAAAGAAUUAUAAUAAAUCUUAAAGAUGACAGUAGUAGUUCUUCAGAAUCACAGGAUGACUGUCCAGCCAGCUCCAGUCAUGAAAAUAUGGACAUUGAUUUUACUGAAAUACAAUAUUUGGAAGAAAGUUUUUGGUUUUAUUUGUUUUUAAGUAAAAUGCCACAAUUCUGAAAUGAUUUCUCAAACUUAAAACAUGACAUACUCUAAUUAAAUUUGAAUACAAUGGCAAAUGAUUUACCAGUUUAUAGUUUUAUAUUUUUAUUAUAGAUAACAAAUCACAUUUGUCUGGCUAAUUUUACAAAAGUAACACUAUGUACAAAUUAUAUUAUAAAUUACGAAUGGAAAGAGUAGUAAAUUUUUCCUCUUCUCAUAGUUGCCAAAUACAUGCGGUGGCCGAAUCUGAAAAUCAUCAGCCAUGGAACUAGGCUGACCAUUGCUCUACGUACAAUAAUUUAUUGCACAGUAGUUCUUCAGUAACCUUGGUUUCAAAAUAUUUCAUCCAUAGUGUGGAAGCUUUGUAUUAGCUAAAAUCUGAAAUAACAAUGGUGCCAAAUUUCAUCACACAUGCUGCAUUAAAAUGUGGAAACACUAUGAAAACCCUUUUGUUUUUCACUGGCAUAUUGAAUUUGGAAACAAUAACCCGAGUAUGUUUUGGCACAUUAAAUGCCCACUGAAGUUCGUGCUUCGAGUCCACAAUCAGUUAUCCAAUUACCAAUUGCAGAUUGUUACUAGAAAUCAUUUCCACAGGUAGUAGAUAGGCAUCGGUAUCCGGUUGGGAUCAAUUGGUUAGUUCUGGUUCCAACGCAGCUUCAGUUGUGCUAGCACUGACGGUGCAUGACGGAGCUUCAUACAGAUAUUUUGGUAUAGCACGUGUAUACGUGUACAUCAAAGGUGUACAUACACCGAGACCACCAUUAUGUUGUCUUGUAUCGAAUCCUAAAGGCUGAACUAAACUCCUUGCAAAUGUGAUAACAAAAAUUAGCGUCGUCGAUAAAUUCAAACAAAACAUGAAACAGAAAAUCAUAAGUAUUGAUGGACUAAACACAAAUUCGACCUCACACCCACCACAUAAGG